AUGGCCGCGCCGUGCACUUCCAUCACAGACGACCGCCUGGCCGUCCUCCUGGAGGAGAUCUUCCUCCGGCUACCCACCCCAGCCGACCUCGUCCACGCCUCCGCCGCCUGCGUCCCCUUCCGCCAGAUCGCCACCGGCAACUCCUUCCUCCGCCGCUUCCGUAAGGAACACUCUCCCUCUUUCAUCGGCUUCAUGGACUGGCACGGCUUCCGCCCCGCGCUCCCUCCUCACACCACCGCGCCCAUAGCCAGUGCAGUCGCCCGCGCUGCUGACUUCACCUUCUCCUUCCUCCCUAGCCCCACCCCCUACCCUACACGCUGCUCCCAGACCCCGGCUGCUGGUGCGUCCGCAGCAUUCGCGACGGCCGCGUCCUCCUCGACCGAGGCCACAAGAGAGACUAUGGUUCAGUCCUCUUCCCGGAGCUCGUGGUGUGUGACCCGUUACACCGGCGAUACCACCUGCUUCCACCGAUCCCUGACGACCUAG
rnacentral:rRNA from 1 species